AGUGAACGCUGGCGGUAGGCCUAACACAUGCAAGUCGAACGGCAGCACAGUAAGAGCUUGCUCUUACGGGUGGCGAGUGGCGGACGGGUGAGGAAUACAUCGGAAUCUACUUUUUCGUGGGGGUUAACGUAGGGAAACUUACGCUAAUACCGCAUACGACCUACGGUUGAAAGCAGGGGAUCUUCGGACCUUGCGCGAUUGAAUGAGCCGAUGUCGGAUUAGCUAGUUGGCGGGGUAAAGGCCCACCAAGGCGACGAUCCGUAGCUGGUCUGAGAGGAUGAUCAGCCACACUGGAACUGAGACACUGUCCAGACUCCUACGGGAGGCAGCAGUGGGGAAUAUUGGACAAUGGGCGCAAGCCUGAUCCAGCCAUACCGCGUGGGUGAAGAAGGCCUUCGGGUUGUAAAGCCCUUUUGUUGGGAAAGAAAAGCAGCAGGUUAAUACCCCGCUGUUCUGACGGUACCCAAAGAAUAAGCACCGGCUAACUUCGUG
rnacentral:rRNA from 1 species